rnacentral:rRNA from 1 species
GAUGAACGCUGGCGGCGUGCCUAAUACAUGCAAGUCGAGCGAACGGACGAGAAGCUUGCUUCUCUGAUUUUAGCGGAGGACGGGUGAGUAACACGUGGAUAACCUACCUAUAAGACUGGGAUAACUUCGGGAAACCGGAUCUAAUACCGGAUGAUAUUUUGAACCGCAUGGUUCAAAAGUGAAAGACGGUCUUGCUGUCACUUAUAGAUGGAUCCGCGCUGCAUUAGCUAGUUGGUAAGGUAACGGCUUACCAAGGCAACGAUGCAUAGCCGACCUGAGAGGGUGGUCGGCCACACUGGAACUGAGACACGGUCCAGACUCCUACGGGAGGCAGCAGUAGGGAAUCUUCCGCAAUGGGCGAAAGCCUGACGGAGCGACGCCGCGUGAGUGAUGAAGGUCUUCGGUUCGUAAAACUCUGUUAUUAGGGAAGAACAUAUGUGUAAGUAACUGUGCACAUCUUGACGGUACCUAAUCAGAAAGCCACGGCUAACUACGUG